CAAGAAGUAGUUUAAUUUAAAAUGCUAGUUUUGGGGAUUAGCGAUGGAGGGUAAUGACUUCCUUUUUGA
rnacentral:tRNA from 1 species